rnacentral:rRNA from 1 species
GCUUAAAGCGGCCGUAGCUUGAUAAUAGGGUCCCUUGAGAAAUCCGCCGGCUUAACUGGCGGGCGUUCAGGGGAAACUUGUUUUCUAGGGACCGGGAGAGGUGAGGGGUACUGCCGGGGUAGGAGUGAAAUCCUGUAAUCCCGGUGGGACCACCUAUGGCGAAGGCAUCUCACCGGAACGGGUCCGACAGUGAGGGACGAAAGCUGGGGGAGCAAACCGGAUUAGAUACCCGGGUAGUCCCAGCUGUAAACUAUGUGCGUUAGGUGUGUCAGUGACCACGUGUCACUGAGGUGCCGAAGGGAAACCGUGAAACGCACCGCCUGGGGAGUACGGUCGCAAGGCUGAAACUUAAAGGAAUUGGCGGGGGAGCACCACAACGGGUGGAGCCUGCGGUUUAAUCGGACUCAACGCCGGGAAUCUCACCGGAUAAGACAGCUGAAUGAUAGUCGGGAUGAAGACUCUACUUGACUAGCUGAGAGGAGGUGCAUGGCCGUCGUCAGUUCGUACUGUGAAGCAUCCUGUUUAGUCAGGCAACGAGCGAGACCCACGCGAGCAGUUGCCAGCUUGACCUUCGGGUUGAUGGGGACACUGCUCGGACCGCCUCUGCUAAAGGGGAGGAAGGACUGGGCAACGGUAGGUCAGCAUGCCCCGAAUUAUCCGGGCUACACGCGGGCUACAAUGGACAGGACAAUGAGUUUCGACACCGAGAGGUGAGGAUAAUCUUCUAACCCUGUCCCAAGUUCGGAUUGCGGGUUGUAACUCACCCGCAUGAAGCUGGAAUCCGUAGUAAUCGCGUUUCAACAUACCGCGGUGAAUAUGUCCCUGCUCCUUGCACUCACCGCCCGU